AAGCCAUGCGAGUCGAGAGUCUUAGGGACUCGGCGUACCGCUCAGUAACACGUGGGUAACCUGCCCUAUGCUGGGGAAUAACCUCGGGAAACUGAGAAUAAUGCCCCAUAGUUCACUACGCCUGGAACGGUGAGUGGAUGAAAGCUCCGGCGGCAUAGGAUGGGCCUGCGGCGUAUCAGGUCGUAGGGGGUGUAACGUACCCUCUAGCCAUCGACGCGUACGGGUGUUGAGAGACAUAGCCCGGAGAUGGAUUCUGAGACACGAAUCCAGACCCUACGGGGUGCAGCAGGCGCGAAAACUUGGCAAUGCGAGAAAUCGUGACCAGGGAACUCCAAGUGGCUGGGGUAAGACCCAGUCUUUUCUUGACUCUUCAAAGGUCUUGGAAUAAGAGGUGGGUAAGGACGGUGCCAGCCGCCGCGGUAAUACCGGCGCCUCAAGUGGUAGUCGAUUUUAUUGGGCCUAAAACGUCCGUAGCCUGUUUGGUACAUUCGUGGGUAAAUCAACCAGCUCAACUGGUUGAAUUCUGCGAGCACGGCCAGACUUGGGACCGGGAGAGGUGUGGGGUACGCUCAGGGUAGGGGUAAAAUCCUGUCAUCCUGAGCGGACCACCUGUUGCGAAGGCGCCACACUAGAACGGAUCCGACGGUCAGGGACGAAGCCUAGGGGCACGAACCGGAUUAGAUACCCGGGUAGUCCUAGGUGUAAACGCUGUGGACUUGGUGUUGGGGAUGAUCCGAUCAUUCUCAGUGCCGAAGCGAAGGUGAUAAGUCCACUGCCUGGGGAGUACGUCGCAAGGCUGAAACUUAA
rnacentral:rRNA from 1 species